AACACGGUGAAGUCACGCAUGUUCUAAAAUUAAAUAUUUAAACUUGGAAUUAAAAAUAAACAGUUGGAAGUCUAUGGUUGAAGUGUUGUGCUAUUGUAGAGGCAACGUUUUGAUGGAGAGGAUUCCAACCCAAUGGCAACAAAGUUACGCGGAGCUGUUGGUCUUUGAAAAGAAGAAAUAAAGCUUCUCCACAUACGAAGUUGCAGCUUGGGAGAGUGUGGAAUAUAAGGCGGGGUGCACACAUAGGUACAAAGUUGCGUGUAAUUUAUGGCGGCGUGGUUUAUGGGCCGCGUUCGCACAUGCGCCGUACUGUCGCGGAGCGAAGCGUCGUAAAGCCGCCGGGGUCAGGUGACCUACAGAAAGGGGUGUUUAGGAAGAGCCUGCGGAGCCGUGAAGAGUUGCGCAUUACCGAACGCUCCGGCAUAAUAGAACCCCACUUCUGCCUCCACUAUAAUUAUAAUUACAGCCCAAGUUUAAGUCGAUUACCUACUUAACGUGUUCGUACUUUAAUUUAAAUGAAUGCAAGCUUUAAACUAAUGUGAUAUGAAAACAGUUUAGUUUUAUCCAGGAUUGGGUAAUUUUUUUUUAGGUUCACGAUCAUAACUAUAAUAUCUAGUCAACUAAUGUAAUGUAACCUACCUCUACAACAACAUAAUAAUUUAAUCUAAUAAAAGGUAGAGAUUUCAUUAAGCAAAUGAGGACGCCUUUUUGUACUAUUUCGUUUUUAGUUUAUAACUUGCUUUUUGUAUGAUUUCUUUUUCGUUAAAAUAAGAGUAUGGUAUAGUAAAAGCCUGUGUAAUCUUUUAUAAUUACUUAAUCAGAAGCCCGCAUAGGAAAAGGCAAUUAUUUCUAGUAUAACGUUUUUAUUAAAGACACGUGCGUCGUAUUGAGGAAUGAUAAACUAUGUAAUAAGUAGUAAUGUAUGAUAUAUACCUACCUUACCAUAUUAUACUAUAUUAUGAUAAAUUAGUAGUUUUUUAUUAAUUUGUAUGUUUGCCCAUCUUUUUUGAGGAAAUACGUUUAGGUAUAGAUACAUAUUUUUCUCUACAAUAUUCAGUUGCAAACUCGUGACCAGCUGACCAGAGCCUGAGUCGUGAGUAUGUAGGUAUGUUAUGUAUUUUAUAGAGGAAGACCACUAUAAUUUUCUUCUAGACUAGGAACCAACUUUUGCAUUGCCGUCGCUGCCGCUAAAUUAAAGUAAUUUAGCAGUUUAUUGCCGUGCCAACACAAAUAUUAUAAUUAUAAUACCUAGUCCACUAAUUAGUUGUUCAUUGUAUUAUAACUUUAUUGCAGUCAUUAAUAUUAAACUAUGAAUGCGAAUUAUGCAAAAAAAAAACUUAUAUUUUACGUAGGUAUUAUAAUUUGAGUUGCUAUUAUAUCACAGAAUGUUGCUUACCUAUGCUUAGUUUAGUUAAGUGUACUGUAGUUUAAUCAUCAAUAAACGCAAGGUACCUACCUUAUUAGAAAAUUAUUAUGUUUAAUCGAUUUUUAGUAGGUAGGAGUUUAAUUUAA